rnacentral:lncRNA from 1 species
AUGCUGUGAGUAUGGACUAUACAAAGAAAGAGAAGCAUAUCUCCUUAUGCUCCUGCAUUCAAAAACUUCUUCCCAUUGUAGGAGACAAGAAAUGAAGCAGAAGAAGGAGCACAGAUUUUGGGGUCAAACUGUCUUUUACUGAGGUAGAGUGGAGCAUUCAGAGAGAGUGCCUGAAGGAGCAGAGGGGACAGAAGAGUCUGUUGGCCUGGACUUUGAGAAGGCUUCCUGAAGCAGCAGGAAGAACUUGAGAAAGACCUUUAAGCAUGCUGGGAUUUGUAUUCGUGGAUGAAAGUAUGAGGGCAUCCUAGGUAGAAGAUACAGCAUGAGCAAAGGACCAGGAGCAGACAUGAAUGAGGUGUGAUGAGAACUUAAAUCGGAGAGUUUGGGUCAUGGAGAAGCAAAUGAGACCAGAAAGCCACUGGGGUUUCUUAAACAGGGGCUUGUCGUUCUGAAAAUGGGGUUAAGUACAGAAGAGACUAAACAUUUAUUGAGCUACAAUUAUCUCUAAUACUUACUACUACUCUGAAACUAUUAUCUCCAAUUUAUAUAUAAAAAUACUGAGGCUUAUAGAGAUAAAACAAAUUGUCAGAGUUCAUAUAACCAGUAAGUGGGAGAGCCAAGAAUGUAGCAGGAGUGUUAAGACAGAAGAAGUUUUGAGAAGAGAGGGUAAAAUUUAGGUGGGAAAAGAUAGAGCAAAUUAUAAUUUGUGAAAUUCUGUGCAGAGCCUUAAGGGCUGAGAGUACGAACUUGAGUGAAAGUUCAAGGAUGCAUUCCCUCCCUUUGAGAAGGAUUUUGAGGUGGUGGGUUCUAGAUGCUGUUCUCAGCGCUAUCCAAUGACCCAAGGGCCCAAUAAUAUUGUCUUAAUUUCCUGUGCUGGGGAAAGCUCUUUCCAGCACCAUCUGGUGGCAUCUACCUGAAUUGCUGGUGUAGAACCAAGGAGGAGAUGCGUACCCUCUGGUGCAAAGCUUCCCUAAGUGUGGCAAAGAAAUAAUGUCUUGUUUCUGCCUUUUCUAUCACUUCUAAGGAUAUCUAUCUAUCUAGUGCCUAGCAAAGUAGAUAUCUGAUACCCAUUAGGUUCCUUCUUACCACUAUAAUGUCUGGGUGUUGGUUCUCAAACUUUAUUGUGUGCCAAAAUCCCAUGUGGAGUUUGUUAAUGGUAUCCUCCCACCCCUAGGCUCUAAUUUAGUAGAUCUGGGGUGCAUCUAUGAAAGCCAGAUUUUAAUAAGCCCCAGGGGGUUUCAGUGCAAUUGGCCCCUGGAGCUCACUUAGGGAAGCUUGACUCCAGAAAGUAUGCAUCUCUUCAUGGGCUAUAAGCCAGCGAUUCAGAUAGAUGCCAAUAGAGGCUGCUUGGCAAAGCCUUACUAGGUACUUUAUUCCUUGUCUCUUGGCCCAUUUUUAGAAGAAGGGAGUCUUCACUCUGGGAAUGGGAGGAUCUUCAAUGAGCAGGGACUAAUUUUUCCAGCUGACUCUGAAUAAAGAUCUACAAAAGCUGUCAGCCAGACCCACUCCAUCACUAAAAUAAAGCAACUAUGUGUCUGAAUAAGCCCUGGCCUGGCAAUAUUGGACCUUUCCUUGCUGCUAAUUCAUUCAAUGAUAUUGGGCAGGACUGUCUUGAUUGCUCCGUUCAGUUCCUAUGUCUGAAAACUGAAGGGAUCAAAGUAAAUGAACCUAAGGUGCCCGGGUUCUCUGACACAUUUGUUAACCCUCAUAAUCUCCUUCUGCCUCCCAUGAGGCAAGACUCUCCCUUCACCUAGCCUACUUUAGAGGGGCUGCCCAUCCUUCCCUCUGCAGGUACCUCUCAGGCUAAUGUUCUUUUGUGAGCCCAACAUGGGGCCUCACAUUCACAGAGCAGAUUAAAGAGAUUUGGUUUAAGGUCAUCCAGUUGGAAAGUGAGAGAAGCUGACCAUUUGUGGAGUCUGGAUCCAGCUCACCAGCUCUAAGUUUGUUCCCCUUUCUCAUUCACUGUGGAUGGUGGUAAGGAUGUUUUUGAGUGUUUUGAAUUUAGUGCCAGGGAAGCUGGGCUGAGUUCAUGUAUAGCUGAGAGAUCAUGGGGAAAUGGCCACCACAUUGCACAAAUCCAGGGGCACAAUUGACAUUGCAACCUAUAUGAAGGUGCUCCCUGGAGUUGUGUUAUGAGGAAUCUGAGUGGUUUUAUGUGAUGUCCCUGGCAGUGCAUCAUAGUUUUGGUGGUAUUUUCUUUUCCUUUCAAGAGGCUAUUAAUGGUCCCUUUUAGAAACUAUCUUUGCAUAUUACAGAAAGCUAGGUGGAUAGCUCUUGAAUAUAGCAAUCCAUGGUAGACACAGACAGUAUUCAUAGAGUCCACUUUAGCUAAGUGUAGAAGCCAUCAGCUCAGGAGUUCAUGAUACUGCAUUUAAGUGGGGAUCAUCUUCCCUAUCUUACCCUACAUGCAAGAAGUUGGAGAUUUCCAUAGAAAUUCCGGUAAAGUGGAAGAUGCUUUUUAGUGUUGCAUGGAGCUAGAAGGUCAAGGUCUUCCAGAAAAGUGCAGCCUCCUCUAUCCAUCUCCCAAAUCGUUGAUGCCCUUUCACCUACCCAGGACUUGCUGUGACCUGACAAGCAAAACAGCAAGGGUGAAAAUCCCCUUAUGACAAUUCAUGCCAGCCUGUCUUGCACAAAUUUGAGAGCAUUUCCUUAAAUUCUGCACCCUGGGUGGCUCACUCACCUCAUUCUAGUGCCAACCCUAUGACAUUUAAAUCACCUAUUUGGGUGUCAGUCCUGUGUUAGGUAUUAGGGUACAGAAAUCAAGAAAAUAUGGCCCUGCCUACAAGGACUUGACAUACAGUUGGAGAGGCCAUCAGGAAAUCCAGUGAUUCUGACUUGCCUUGAGAUUCACUAGGUGGGAACACAGAAGUUCCAAUGGAGCAACAAGUGAGGUACCUGGUCUACCUGGGAGGUUGAGAAGCCUUCCCUGAAAGGAUAUAGUCCUAGAGCAGAGACUUAAAAGGUGAGGAGGAGUCUGAAGGGGAGGGAGUGAGAACAGCAUGGACAAAGUCCCCAAGGCAAGAGAGAGAUGAGUUUGGAAAACCACACAUUGAUUAGUAUGACUGAGAUGAAAAUUGCAUGGGCUUCAUACUGGGGGGAGGGAGUGGGCAGUGGCCAGAGAGGCAAAGCGUGAUGGAGCCUGCAUUCCAUGCAAAAUUAUAAGAAUUUCUAUCCUGAAAACUGUGGGGAGCUGCUGAAGAAUUUUGAGCAGGAAAAUAACAUGAUCAGAAUUGCAUUUUAGAAGUAUCACUCUGGUGGAAAUGUGGAGAUUCAACUGAACAGAGGUGAGAACAGAGACAGAAUGAGCAGUUAGACCAUGAUUGCAAGAGUCCAGGUGAGGGGCACCAAGAUGGAAAGGAUCCAAUCCACUGUCAUAACUCCCUUGCGUCACUACUAGGAAGGAAAAUUGCCUCCAGCCUUCUCCAGCUCUGGCAGGGAAGUUUCAGUUAUCUGGGUGAGGAUAAGCUUCUCCAGGAGUCCAAGGUAGGAGAACUUGGGGGACUUUUUCUGCUCCAUGAUGUAGAAUCUCUUGCAGACCCAGGGUCUGCUGUGGUGGGACCAGAUAGUGCCUUUCAAGCCUGGGCUGAGUGGAGGAGGGGUGCCUUUGGCCACAGAAAGAAGAGCCCAGAGACCGCCCCUGGGAAAUCUUCCUUUCAGGACUGAGCUCCUGCACUUACGGGUGAGAAACACAGAAAGUGCUGGGGGCUGCUUCUGUUUCCCCCAAGUGCCCCCAGCCCCAUCCCCAUGUUUCUAUGGCAAUCCCUUUAUGUUGCUUUCCUCAUUGCUGCUUCUAGAUUGUCUCCCAGCACUUCCGGGGGUGCUAGGGAAGGGAGCUAAUUACCUUGCUAUAAAUACCAGCCAGAAUGAGCUCCUAGGGCCCCAGACCUGGCUUUUCUUUUUCAGUGCCUCUGCGGUGGGUUGGGCAGUAGAGAGUGGGUAGAGUCUACACAGCAAUCCAUCGUUAUAUUCGCUAUGUUCUUUCGCCCCCUCAUGGGCUCAGCUGUGUUUACUUUCCUUCUAUUAACAGGUGGAGUAGGAGCAAGGAAGCAGUGGCAUUAUGGGGCAUCUGUGAAGUGCCAGUGAAGGCUGCAUCGUGGCUGUGUUCCAUGGUAACCGUUUCCAGGAAGAGCAGCACCGGAGGAGUGCAGGUUCUGAAGACUUUCAAUCAGCCCCAAAGCUUAGCCAGACAAAACGUCGUGUUGCUGGCUUCACAGCCUCCGCGGACACCAAAGGGAGAGGGUAUGACGUGGGCAAACAUUCUCCUAGGUUAUUGCAGGAACUGUGAUCACAAGGACCAUGAGCGCAGCUGCCUCCCGGGGCUCGAUCACAGGAGAGGAGCCCAGGGCCAGAGGUCCCUGAACUGCAGACCAGAGCAUGUGGCUGCAGGAGAGGAAUGAGGCAGAGAAAGCACAGCUACACACAGUGGAUUCCUGGCCUCUUUCCCAUCUCCCUGAGAAAGACUCAUCACGUCUCCACUGUGGCUCUGUGGGUAAUACCGGUAGAGAGGAAAGAGGAGGCUCUGGAGCCAGAUGGCCUGGAUCCGAAUCCCAGGCUGCUGCAACAGCUGGGCUCAGCAUUGAAAUGGGGACCAUCUGGGAGCCACACGACGGAGACUGAGUUGGCACCUUGAGAGGGAGGCAGAGCUGCGAUGCACAGAGCGGUGCUGAGGCAGACUCACAGCUAUGCAGCAAUCGCGUCCCCAGCCCAGCACCAGCACUACUGACUGGGAAAGGACUUCUCGCCCCGAUGCCUGCCCUGCUGCAAAAACCCCCUAGCUUCCUUUCAGCACAAAG